CGCAGCCGCGGUAAUUCCAGCUCCAAUAGCGUAUAUUAAAGUUGUUGCAGUUAAAAAGCUCGUAGUUGAACUUCAGGCCUGUCCAGAUGGUCCGCCUUAAUUGGUGUGUACUGUCCUUGGGUGGGUCCUACCUUCUGGCGAAGCGGCAUGGCCUUAGUUGGUUGUGUCGGGGAAGCAGGACUUUUACUGUGAAAAAUUAGAGUGUUCAAAGCAGGCAUAUAUGCUCGAAUACAUUAGCAUGGAAUAAUGGAAUAGGACGAUGGUUCUAUUUUGUUGGUUCUAGGACCGUUGUAAUGAUUAAUAGGGAUAGUUGGGGGCAUUAGUAUUCAAUUGUCAGAGGUGAAAUUCUUGGAUUUAUUGAAGACUAACUACUGCGAAAGCAUUUGCCAAGGAUGUUUUCAUUAAUCAAGAACGAAAGUUAGGGGAUCGAAGACGAUCAGAUACCGUCGUAGUCUUAACCAUAAACUAUGCCGACUAGGAAUCGGGCGAUGUUGACAAAAUGACUCGCUC
rnacentral:misc_RNA from 1 species